ensembl:ncRNA K08F8.10 ncRNA
CAUGAUGAUGCCGACUUUUCCUAAUUGUUUUCACUUUCCUUUCGCUUUCAUGCUUAACUUUCGCUGCUUCGGGUUACGGAUGUAUGUGUGUCUAAGUGUGAGAAGGAGGAGGAGGUCAAUGGUUGAAUUCGUCGCAUCAGGUCACUAGUACAAAAGGGUAGGUGAACUUUGCGGAGAAUUGGAAGA